GCGUAGAGGAAAAAUUUCCCAAAGUCCAUGGCCUUGAUCAUGCCUAUAUUUGAGGUUCAUUCGAUCAUGUCAUAAGAUUUCCCAAAAAUCAAUCUCAAUGAAGAGGGUGUUUAAAUCAAGGAAACAUUUGAGGGCAUUCCAUAACUUUUUCCCCUUCAAGCAAUAUCACAUACAACAUGCACUCCUUUUCCUCCUCUGCAUCAAUCAUGUGAAAAUCCCUACAAACUAACAAAUGGAUUUCCAAUGAUUUGUCAAUAAUCCAUUUAUAUAAAAGGGCACAUUCAUCAUUAGUCACAUAGAAGUUGGAUAAACCCAACAACCUUCCAUCCAAACUCAACAAAAUUGAAACACAUUUUUGAGAGUUGUUGGUGCCUCAUCCUAUAACUGACGACAACGUUAGGAAAUCCAGAGACAUCGUCAGGGCCCCCAGAAAGAGUUAUCUUUUAUUUUUAACAACUUUCCCACCCUGAAAUCGACUGAACCAGAGAUAGGGUCCAACAGCUGGAAGAACAUCGCACACCUUGCGGUGUCCGGUGCACCCUCGACGACCCUUCAAAAAUUGGAGGAUCGAGUACCAUCCAUGCUCGGUCGUACUCAUAACUGCAUUAGGUCUCCAAGGUGAACAACCUCUUCUCAAUAGAACAAUGUAGGUAAGGGAAGUCGACAAAACAAAUCUGUAACUUUGGGAAAAGGAUUGGCUCUAAGGGUUGGGCCUAGGGGUCCGCGUCCUCAACCUGUGGGCUGUCGACAAUCUUACCAUGAGACUGUCAUUGAUUACUGCUACCUCUUUUUGAAUGGUAGUGCAACUAAUUAAUGCUACCUCCUUUUGAAUGGU
rfam:Picea glauca, whole genome shotgun sequence.